GACGUAGGAGGCGAGCGUUGUCCGGAUUCAUUGGGCGUAAAGAGCACGCAGGCGGUUUGGCAAGUCAGAUGUGAAAAUCCGAGGCUCAACCUCGGACCUGCAUCUGAAACUGCCCGACUAGAGGUAGGUAGGGGAGAUCGGAAUUCCUGGUGUAGCGGUGAAGUGCGCAGAUAUCAGGAGGAACACCGGUGGCGAAGGCGGAUCUCUGGGCAGUAACUGACGCUGAGGAGCGAAAGCGUGGGGAGCAAACAGG
rnacentral:rRNA from 1 species